AUUGAACGCUGGCGGCAGGCUUAACACAUGCAAGUCGAGCGGAGAUGAGGUGCUUGCACCUUAUCUUAGCGGCGGACGGGUGAGUAAUGCUUAGGAAUCUGCCUAUUAGUGGGGGACAACAUUCCGAAAGGAAUGCUAAUACCGCAUACGCCCUACGGGGGAAAGCAGGGGAUCUUCGGACCUUGCGCUAAUAGAUGAGCCUAAGUCGGAUUAGCUAGUUGGUGGGGUAAAGGCCUACCAAGGCGACGAUCUGUAGCGGGUCUGAGAGGAUGAUCCGCAACACUGGGACUGAGACACGGCCCAGAAUCCUACGGGAGGCAGCAGUGGGGAAUAUUGGGCAAUGGGCGGAAGCCUGAUCCAGCCAUGCCGCGUGUGUGAAGAAGGCCUUUUGGUUGUAAAGCACUUUAAGCGAGGAGGAGGCUACCUGGAUUAAUACUCUAGGAUAGUGGACGUUACUCGCAGAAUAAGCACCGGCUAACUCUGUGCCAGCCGCCGCGGUAACAC
rnacentral:rRNA from 1 species